AGAAUUCCAGUGAAUCAUCGAAUCUUUGAACGCACAUUGCGCUCCCUGGGUAUUCCGGGGAGCAUGCCUGUUCGAGCGUCAUUACAACCCUCAAGCACUGCUUGGUAUUGGGCGUCAUCAGCGAUGAUGAGCCUUAAAGUUAAUGGCGGCACUGCCUAGCUCUAAGCGUAGUAAAUCUCUCGCUACAGAGUCCUGGAAGGCGCCUGCCCUCAGCCAUAAUUAUCUCGUGGUUGACCUCGGAUCAGGUAGGGAUACCCGCUGAACUUAAGCAUAUCAAUAAGCGGAGGAAAAGAAACCAACAGGGAUUACCUCAGUAACGGCGAGUGAAGCGGUAACAGCUCAAAUUUGAAAUCUGGGUCUUUCAGGCUCCGAGUUGUAAUUUGUAGAAGAUGCUUCGAGCGUGGCCCUAGUCUAAGUUCCUUGGAACAGGACGUCACAGAGGGUGAGAAUCCCGUACGUGAUUAGGCGCCUAUGCUCAUGUGAAGCUCUUUCAACGAGUCGAGUUGUUUGGGAAUGCAGCUCAAAAUGGGUGGUAUAUUUCAUCUAAAGCUAAAUAUUGGCCAGAGACCGAUAGCGCACAAGUAGAGUGAUCGAAAGAUGAAAAGCACUUUGGAAAGAGAGUUAAACAGUACGUGAAAUUGUUGAAAGGGAAGCGCUUGUAACCAGACUUGCGCGUUGUCGAUCAUCUGAUGUUCUCAUCAGUGCACACGACCUCGCUCAGGCCAGCAUCAGUUCUGGUGGUUGGAUAAAGGCCUUGGGAAUGUAGCUUCUCUCGGGGAGUGUUAUAGCCCUCGGUGCAAUGCAGCCUACCGGGACUGAGGACCGCGCUUCGGCUAGG
rnacentral:rRNA from 1 species